UCUCUCGGUCGUCUGCUUCAGACUUCUCACGGCCAUAUUCACAACCUGGAAUACUUUUCUAAGGAUCCCUUGUUGUUUCUGAGACCUGUGGACCGUUACGGACUAAAGGAAUACAGAUGACGGAGGAAUGGAGAGGGAACCGGAGUUCUACACGUCUAAACGGUCGGCAGUCACCACAGGACAAGACACUGGGACUCUGGUCCAGUCCAGAGGAGGACAAACCAAGAGGGUCCUGACCCAGUAGAGACCCGAUCCCAGGGCGGUCAGGAUGUUAUGAAAGCUGGGCUCAUCUGAACUGUGCUUCACUCCAACUUCAACAGCAGACAUCUGCCGCACGGCGCAGAGAAAAACAUGGUGUUAUUGUUCUGACACUGAGGAAUGUGAGUGAGCUGCGGAGCUGCCUUCAUAUUAUCUUACACUCCAUCCAUUCACUUACAUAAUAGCCCUCAUCGCCGAGCCUUCCUCCCUGUGUGACUCCACUGACCGAGACGUGAUGAGCUGGUACACUCACCGCCGGCAUCGAACACAGUCGACUGUUGGACCACUCCUGGUUCCUGUAGAGGAGGCUCACACAGAUCCACAGACCGAGGUCAGAGCUGGAUCAGAGGAGCCUUCAUGAGGAAUAAACCCAGUGACUGAAUCACACUGAUGUUAUCAGCUCAUCUGUGAUCCCUGAGCAUGAUGACACCAGUCUGUCAGUGAGACCACGUGUUUCUCUGUGUUUGCUGCUCUCUGGUGGCUGCACAUCGUGUCACCUCCACCUUCAGUUCACAAACUGCAGAAGAAGAUUACUGCCACGUGGAAAAAAAUCUUUUUUCUUUUUUUUUUUUUUUUUGGAAAUCUGAAUUUAAUCUCAGAUUAAAAUUCUGCAAUUCUGAUUUUUCUUCUCAGAAUUCUCAGAUUAAAGUCACGUGUGGCCCUAAUCCUCAAGAAGUCAGAAUAUCGACUUUAAUCCGAGGCUCUGUCCGAAAUCUCUCCCGACUCCCCACAUGGUCCACUAUACACUGUCCUGCGUCCUGUGUCCUGCCUGUUAACAGCUGCUGAUGUCUCCAGGGGUGUGGCCAUUGAGACAGCUUUGUUUUACACCCUGACCCUGCUGAUGAAAACCAUGAGGUGUUGUUGAAAGCUCUGGAAAAAGUUGAGUGAACCAUGUCAAUGAUUAAC